UACGGAGGGUGCAAGCGUUAUCCGGAUUCACUGGGUUUAAAGAGCUCGUAGGCGGUUUGUCACGUCGGAUGUGAAAACCCGAGGCUUAACCUCGGGCCUGCAUUCGAUACGGGCUGACUAGAGUUCGGUAGGGGAGACUGGAAUUCCUGGUGUAGCGGUGAAAUGCGCAGAUAUCAGGAGGAACACCGGUGGCGAAGGCGGGUCUCUGGGCCGAUACUGACGCUGAGGAGCGAAAGCGUGGGGAGCGAACAGG
rnacentral:rRNA from 1 species